rnacentral:lncRNA from 1 species
AAAAAAAAAAAAAAAGCAUUUCUGCCUCUGAAAGGAUGGCUGAGAAUCUGCUUAUGAGUGCCUCAGUGGAGGUUUUACUGCAGAAAAUAAUCUCAGUCACUACUGAAAACAUUAACCUUGUUUUUGGUGGUCCUCAAGAAAUCUCAUGCCUAAUGGAGAACUGGUUUUCCCACUCCAGUGAAGAGACUAAUGUUGUGCAGGCCAUCAGACAAGAGUUGGAGGAAUUGAAAGGAUCUUUAUCCAACAUCCAAGCUGUCUCACAGGAUAAUCUGAGGCUGCAGGACAAGGCUGUGAUCGUUACGCUUUGGCUGCAGAAACUUUCUGAUAUAGCCGAUGAUGCUGAUAAUGCUUUGGCAGAUUUCAGCUAUCAAAUUCUCCAGCAUGAGGUGGAGAUGCUGAACCAAGAAAAACCAAAGGCAAGUCUCUUCUCCUGUCACUCUGAUAAGAAAGCUUUUCGCCAAGAAAUGAUGCCUAAAGCAAGAGGCAUCAGUAAUAAGCUGGAGAUGAUCAAUAAAGAAGUGAAAGACUUUUUAGCUUCUGAGAAAUAUGGUGUCACAACUGCUUCUUCCCCUCAGGUAGAUGUAGUUCAGGAGGUUGGCUUCUUGAUUGCUGACCUUAAAAUCACAGAAAAUGAGGAAAAGAGAUCUAUAGAAAAUUUCUGGUCCAUAAUAAAAGAAAAAGCAGGUGCAAGUGAUGAAAUACCAAUAGGCCUGGAGGACAUAGGAAGGCACAUUGCAGAAAAGUGUCAAGGUCUGUCUUUAGCAGCAAAUUUACUUGGAGGUUUGUUACAAAACAAAAAGAAGGGAUUUCUGGUUGUCAAUUUUAGAAAGCGGGGUAUUAGAUAAAGAAGAUGUAAUCUCUGCGAUACUCAAAUUGUGCUUUGAAAAUCUGCCAUCUCCAUUCCUCAAAAG